UACGUAGGGUGCGAGCGUUGUCCGGAAUUAUUGGGCGUAAAGGGCUCGUAGGCGGUUUGUCGCGUCGGGAGUGAAAACCCAGGGCUUAACCCUGGGCUGGCUUCCGAUACGGGCAGACUAGAGGUAUGCAGGGGAGAACGGAAUUCCUGGUGUAGCGGUGAAAUGCGCAGAUAUCAGGAGGAACACCGGUGGCGAAGGCGGUUCUCUGGGCAUUACCUGACGCUGAGGAGCGAAAGCCAGGGGAGCAAACGGG
rnacentral:rRNA from 1 species